rnacentral:rRNA from 1 species
UACGAAGGGUGCAAGCGUUACUCGGAAUUACUGGGCGUAAAGCGUGCGUAGGCGGCCAGAUAAGUCCGCUGUGAAAUCUCGAGGCUCAACUUCGAGCUGUCGGUGGAAACUGUCUGGCUAGAGUCCGGAAGAGGAGAAUGGAAUUCCUGGUGUAGCGGUGAAAUGCGCAGAUAUCAGGAGGAACACCAAUGGCGAAGGCAGCACUCUGGGACGUGACUGACGCUGAGACGCGAAAAGCGUGGGGAGCAAACAGG